UACGUAGGGUGCAAGCGUUGUCCGGAAUUAUUGGGCGUAAAGAGCUCGUAGGCGGUUUGUCGCGUCUGCUGUGAAAUCCCGAGGCUCAACCUCGGGUCUGCAGUGGGUACGGGCAGACUAGAGUGUGGUAGGGGAGAUUGGAAUUCCUGGUGUAGCGGUGGAAUGCGCAGAUAUCAGGAGGAACACCGAUGGCGAAGGCAGAUCUCUGGGCCAUUACUGACGCUGAGGAGCGAAAGUGUGGGGAGCAAACAGG
rnacentral:rRNA from 1 species